AGUGAACGCUGGCGGUAGGCCUAACACAUGCAAGUCGAACGGCAGCACAGUAAGAGCUUGCUCUUACGGGUGGCGAGUGGCGGACGGGUGAGGAAUACAUCGGAAUCUACUUUUUCGUGGGGGAAACGUAGGGAAACUUACGCUAAUACCGCAUACGACCUACGGGUGAAAGCCGGGGAUCUUCGGACCUUGCGCGAUUGAAUGAGCCGAUGUCGGAUUAGCUAGUUGGCGGGGUAAAGGCCCACCAAGGCGACGAUCCGUAGCUGGUCUGAGAGGAUGAUCAGCCACACUGGAACUGAGACACGGUCCAGACUCCUACGGGAGGCAGCAGUGGGGAAUAUUGGACAAUGGGCGCAAGCCUGAUCCAGCCAUACCGCGUGGGUGAAGAAGGCCUUCGGGUUGUAAAGCCCUUUUGUUGGGAAAGAAAAGCAGCAGGUUAAUACCCCGCUGUUCUGACGGUACCCAAAGAAUAAGCACCGGCUAACUUCGUG
rnacentral:rRNA from 1 species